UACGAAGGGUGCAAGCGUUACUCGGAAUUACUGGGCGUAAAGCGUGCGUAGGUGGUGAGUUAAGUCUGAUGUGAAAUCCCCGGGCUCAACCUGGGAAUGGCAUUGGAUACUGGCUCGCUAGAGUGCGGUAGAGGGUGGUGGAAUUCCCGGUGUAGCAGUGAAAUGCGUAGAGAUCGGGAGGAACAUCUGUGGCGAAGGCGGCCACCUGGACCAACACUGACACUGAGGCAUGAAAGCGUGGGGAGCAAACAGG
rnacentral:rRNA from 1 species